GUGGGGAAUAUUGGACAAUGGGCGAAAGCCUGAUCCAGCAACGCCGCGUGGAGGAUGAAGGCCUUCGGGUUGUAAACUCCUGUUAGGGGGAACGAAAGGUCGCGGGUUAACAGCCGGCGGCCCUGACGGUACCUCCAGAGGAAGCCCCGGCUAACUCUGUGCCAGCAGCCGCGGUAAUACAGAGGGGGCGAGCGUUAUUCGGAAUUAUUGGGCGUAAAGGGCGCGUAGGCGGCAAGGUAAGUCAAAGGUGAAAUCCCUCGGCUCAACUGAGGAACUGCCUUUGAAACUGCCUAGCUUGAGGCCGGGAGAGGGUAGUGGAAUUCCCAGUGUAGCGGUGAAAUGCGUAGAUACUGGGAGGAACACCAGUGGCGAAGGCGGCUACCUGGACCGGUUCUGACGCUGAUGCGCGAAAGCGUGGGGAGCAAACAGGAUUAGAUACCCUUGUAGUCC
rnacentral:rRNA from 1 species